rnacentral:rRNA from 1 species
UUACCUGGGCUCGAACGUAAGAUGACUGUAGGUGAAAGCUUACAUCUCUUCGGAGCAUUUUACGAGGUGCUGCAUGGUUGUCGUCAGCUCGUGCCGUGAGGUGUCGGUUAAGUCCCAUAACGAGCACAACCCUACCCUUUAGUUGCCAUCAGGUAAUGCUGGGGACUCUAAGGAACUGCCUACGCAAGUAGUGAGGAAGCGGGGAUGACGUCAAAUCAGCACGGCCCUUACGUCCAGGGCUACACACGUGCUACAAUGGCCGAUACAGAGGGCAGCUACCUGGUGACAGGAUGCAAAUCUCCAAAGUCGGUCUCAGUUCGGAUCGGAGUCUGCAACCCGACUCCGUGAAGUUGGAUCCGCUAGUAAUCGCGCAUCAGCCAUGGCGCGGUGAAUACGUUCCCGGGCCUU